rnacentral:rRNA from 1 species
AAAUUGAAGAGUUUGAUCAUGGCUCAGAUUGAACGCUGGCGGCAGGCCUAACACAUGCAAGUCGAACGGUAACAGGAAACAGCUUGCUGUUUCGCUGACGAGUGGCGGACGGGUGAGUAAUGUCUGGGAAACUGCCCGAUGGAGGGGGAUAACUACUGGAAACGGUAGCUAAUACCGCAUAACGUCGCAAGACCAAAGAGGGGGACCUUCGGGCCUCUUGCCAUCGGAUGUGCCCAGAUGGGAUUAGCUAGUAGGUGGGGUAACGGCUCACCUAGGCGACGAUCCCUAGCUGGUCUGAGAGGAUGACCAGCCACACUGGAACUGAGACACGGU